UGCUAUAUUCCCAGCCUUUCAAUUCCAUAAUUACCCUAAUUAGGUUCCUCCCUCAUAUAUAUUUAAACCAUGCCAAACAUUUAUUAAAAAAAAGGAUCCUACAUUGUUGGACUCAGAGAAGGGACCAAGGGGGCAACUCUCCUUAGAUUCAGAUUUCCAUGAUUCUAUACAUAAAAGUGUCCCACAUCCUCCAAAAUCCAAGCUCAUAGUGAUUUGUGGGUCAUAGCAAACAUAAGUUAUCCAGAUUAAGAAUAUAAUAAACCAAAAAAAUAAAACAAUUAAAGAACCAAAUUCGAAUUGGUUCCUGGUCCUGAUCAGAAACCACCGUGUUCGUGCAAUUUCAUAGGGAAGGCAUAUUAGCCUUCCAAGCUAAAAUCUUUUUAAAAUUUAUCUUGUACCUAAUAUUUUUAGUAGCACUCACGUGCAUUUGUAUGUUGCAUUAAAAACUAGCAACCACAAAAUGGAAGAUAAAGUUUCUUACCUUCCCACUUCCUAUCACAUCGACAUCCUCUCUCUUCCUGUCUACCCUAUUGCUACUAAAUGAAGGUUAAAUCCAGACUUCCAAACAACGCAAUGAUUGCACACUUGAAGCAGAAGGUAGUAGCAAUGGUCAGGGUUGUUGUUGCAGCAAAGCAAAAUGAUGGAGGUGGUGCACAUUCAAGGUUCUUAAAAGCAAUAACGGUACGCAGGAAAAUAGAAUAUCACAUCGCACCUAGGCAAUCUGCAGCCACCUAGCUGUUUGUGUUUAAGAAAAAUUAUUUAAAAAUAAA
rnacentral:lncRNA from 1 species